UUCCGAGUGGUGUAGUUGAUUCAUCACGUUCGACUGUGAUAGGUUUACGAGAUCAUCGAAAGGUUCCUAGUUCGAUUCUGAGUUCGGAGA